rnacentral:rRNA from 1 species
GGCAGAGAUGACAGCACGUUGUUAACAUCAGUUCCCAGUAGCUCACUAAAGUUAAGCAACGUUGCGCGAGGUUGGUAUCCUGGUGGGUGACCAUCUGCUGACUUUUCCUCACUCGUAGAUU